rnacentral:rRNA from 1 species
AUUGAACGCUGGCGGCAGGCUUAACACAUGCAAGUCGAGCGGGGUGAUGGUGCUUGCACUAUCACUUAGCGGCGGACGGGUGAGUAAUGCUUAGGAAUCUGCCUAUUAGUGGGGGACAACAUCUCGAAAGGGAUGCUAAUACCGCAUACGUCCUACGGGAGGAAGCAGGGGAUCACUUGUGACCUUGCGCUAAUAGAUGAGCCUAAGUCGGAUUAGCUAGUUGGUGGGGUAAAGGCCUACCAAGGCGACGAUCUGUAGCGGGUCUGAGAGGAGGAGCCGCCACACUGGGACUGGGACACGGCCCAGACUCCUACGGGUGGCAGCAGUGGGGAAUAUUGGACAAUGGGGGGAACCCUGAUCCAGCCAUGCCGCGUGUGUGAAGAAGGCCUUAUGGUUGUAAAGCACUUUAAGCGAGGAGGAGGCUCUUUUGGUUAAUACCCAAGAUGAGUGGACGUUACUCGCAGAAUAAGCACCGGCUAACUCUGUGCCAGCCGCCGCCGUAA